rnacentral:rRNA from 1 species
GACGAACGCUGGCGGCGUGCUUAACACAUGCAAGUCGAACGGAAAGGCCUCAGCUUGCUGGGGUACUCGAGUGGCGAACGGGUGAGUAACACGUGGUUGAUCUGCCUUUCACUCUGGGAUAAGCUUUGGAAACUGGGUCUAAUACCGGAUAUGAACUGCCUUUAGUGUGGUGGUUGGAAAGUUUUUUCGGUGCAAGAUGAGCUCGCGGCCUAUCAGCUUGUUGGUGGGGUAAUGGCCUACCAAGGCGUCGACGGGUAGCCGGCCUGAGAGGGUGUACGGCCACAUUGGGGCUGAGGUACGGCCCAGGCUCCGACGGGGGGCAACAGGGGGGAAUAUUGCACCAGGGGCGGAAAGCUGAUGCAGCGGCGCCGCGGGGGGGAUGACGGCCUUCGGGUUGGAAACUCCGUUCGACAGGGACGAAGCUUUUUGUGACGGUACCUGUAGAAGAAGCACCGGCUAACUACGUG